rnacentral:rRNA from 1 species
AGUGAACGCUGGCGGUAGGCCUAACACAUGCAAGUCGAACGGCAGCACAGUAAGAGCUUGCUCUUACGGGUGGCGAGUGGCGGACGGGUGAGGAAUACAUCGGAAUCUACUCUUUCGGGGGGGAUAACGUAGGGAAACUUACUCUAAUACCGCAUACCAUCCACGGGGGAAAGCAGGGGAUCUUUGGACCUUGCGCGAUUGGAUGAGCCGCUGACGGACUAGCUAGUUGGGGGGGUAAAGGCCCACGCAGGCGACGAUCCGUAGCUGGUCUGAGAGGAUGAUCAGCCACACUGGAACUGAGACACGGUCCAGACUCCUACGGGAGGCAGCAGUGGGGAAUAUUGGACAAUGGGCGCAAGCCUGAUCCAGCCAUACCGCGUGGGUGAAGAAGGCCUUCGGGUUGUAAAGCCCUUUUGUUGGGAAAGAAAAGCAGCAGGUUAAUACCCCGCUGUUCUGACGGUACCCAAAGAAUAAGCACCGGCUAACUUCGUG